UCAGGAUGAACGCUAGCUACAGGCUUAACACAUGCAAGUCGAGGGGCAGCAUUUCAGUUUGCUUGCAAACUGGAGAUGGCGACCGGCGCACGGGUGAGUAACACGUAUCCAACCUGCCGAUAACUCGGGGAUAGCCUUUCGAAAGAAAGAUUAAUACCCGAUGGUAUAAUCAGACCGCAUGGUCUUAUUAUUAAAGAAUUUCGGUUAUCGAUGGGGAUGCGUUCCAUUAGGCAGUUGGUGAGGUAACGGCUCACCAAACCUUCGAUGGAUAGGGGUUCUGAGAGGAAGGUCCCCCACAUUGGAACUGAGACACGGUCCAAACUCCUACGGGAGGCAGCAGUGAGGAAUAUUGGUCAAUGGGCGCAGGCCUGAACCAGCCAAGUAGCGUGAAGGAUGACUGCCCUAUGGGUUGUAAACUUCUUUUAUAUGGGAAUAAAGUUUUCCACGUGUGGAAUUUUGUAUGUACCAUAUGAAUAAGGAUCGGCUAACUCCGUGCCAGCAGCCGCGGUAAUACGGAGGAUCCGAGCGUUAUCCGGAUUUAUUGGGUUUAAAGGGAGCGUAGGUGGACAGUUAAGUCAGUUGUGAAAGUUUGCGGCUCAACCGUAAAAUUGCAGUUGAUACUGGCUGUCUUGAGUACAGUAGAGGUGGGCGGAAUUCGUGGUGUAGCGGUGAAAUGCUUAGAUAUCACGAAGAACUCCGAUUGCGAAGGCAGCUCACUGGACUGCAACUGACACUGAUGCUCGAAAGUGUGGGUAUCAAACAGGAUUAGAUACCCUGGUAGUCCACACAGUAAACGAUGAAUACUCGCUGUUUGCGAUAUACAGUAAGCGGCCAGGCGAAAGCAUUAAGUAUUCCACCUGGGGAGUACGCCGGCAACGGUGAAACUCAAAGGAAUUGACGGGGGCCCGCACAAGCGGAGGAACAUGUGGUUUAAUUCGAUGAUACGCGAGGAACCUUACCCGGGCUUAAAUUGCAUUUGAAUAAUCUGGAAACAGGUUAGCCGCAAGGCAAAUGUGAAGGUGCUGCAUGGUUGUCGUCAGCUCGUGCCGUGAGGUGUCGGCUUAAGUGCCAUAACGAGCGCAACCCUUAUCUUUAGUUACUAACAGGUCAUGCUGAGGACUCUAGAGAGACUGCCGUCGUAAGAUGUGAGGAAGGUGGGGAUGACGUCAGAUCAGCACGGCCCUUACGUCCGGGGCUACACACGUGUUACAAUGGGGGGUACAGAAGGCAGCUACCUGGUGACAGGAUGCUAAUCCCAAAAGCCUCUCUCAGUUCGGAUCGAAGUCUGCAACCCGACUUCGUGAAGCUGGAUUCGCUAGUAAUCGCGCAUCAGCCAUGGCGCGGUGAAUACGUUCCCGGGCCUUGUACACACCGCCCGUCAAGCCAUGAAAGCCGGGGGUACCUGAAGUACGUAACCGCAAGGAGCGUCCUAGGGUAAAACUGG
rnacentral:rRNA from 1 species